rnacentral:rRNA from 1 species
UACGUAGGGGGCAAGCGUUGUCCGGAUUUAUUGGGCGUAAAGAGCGUGUAGGCGGCCAAGCAGGUCCGCUGUAAAAGUCCAGGGCUCAACCCUGGAAAGCCGGUGGAUACUGUCGGGCUCGAGUCCGGAAGAGGCGAGUGGAAUUCCUGGUGUAGCGGUGGAAUGCGCAGAUAUCAGGAGGAACACCGAUGGCGAAGGCAGCUCGCUGGGACGGUACUGACGCUGAGGCGCGAAAGCGUGGGGAGCGGACAGG